rnacentral:rRNA from 1 species
GACGAACGCUGGCGGCGUGCUUAACACAUGCAAGUCGAACGAAGAGCGAUGGACGCUUGCUUCUAUCAAUCUUAGUGGCGCACGGGUGAGUAACGCGUAAUCAACCUGCCCUUCAGAGGGGGACAACAGUUGGAAACGACUGCUAAUACCGCAUACGAUCUAAUCUCGGCAUCGAGGAUAGAUGAACGGUGGCCUCUACAUGUAAGCUAUCACUGAAGGAGGGGAUUGCGUCUGAUUAGCUAGUUGGAGGGGUAACGGCCCACCAAGGCGAUGAUCAGUAGGCGGUCUGAGAGGAUGAACGGCCACAUUGGGACUGAGACACGGCCCAGACUCCUACGGGAGGCAGCAGUGGGGAAUCUUCCGCAAUGGACGAAAGUCUGACGGAGCAACGCCGCGUGAGGGAAGACGGCCUUCGGGUUGUAAAGCUCUGUUAAUCGGGACGAAAGGCCUUCUUGCGAACAGUUAGAAGGAUUGACGGUACCGGAAUAGAAAGCCACGGCUAACUACGUG